AAUAUGUUGCGGGGGGACUAAGCGGGCUGAAGUCCGUAUUAAGUUGAGAAGGUUAAAACCUGACCCUUUGAACCUGUUAGUUAAUACUGACGUAGGGAAGCGGAAUUUGAUAAGAA
rnacentral:ncRNA from 2 species